rnacentral:lncRNA from 1 species
AUAAAUACAACACACAUACAGUAAUGUCGCUGCUGUAUCACUACCAUGGCAGUACGGUUUCUGACAAUUUUAGGUCAAUAAACUUUACAGGAGUCCAGGCCUCGCAUUGCUGCUCAAUGUUCCAUGUAUUGGCAUGGCGGCGGGGUUACCUUAGUCUUCUCUCCUGCAGGAAAUGAGGCAACCCCGGAAUCAACAUUUUACGAGAUCAGCAGGAGCAAUGCUGGUAUCAGACCCAACAGAACAAAGUUUGCAUAAAGGAGGCAAUUUGAAGUGUUCCUAUAUAUCCUAAGAUAAAGUACAACUUUCUGUCUUGCUUCUUUACCAAGGGUGUGGUUUGAGCAAUGAUGUAUCGCCUAGUUCGUAUCACAUGUUCAGGACGUAGAGAUCACACGGUCCAUCGCUCUCUGAAGGGCAUGGAAGAAAGGAAACUCACCAUAUGCACCACGAAUCUCUACUUCCCGCCAUUCUUGAACAAGUGCACAGCAACAACACAUCACAUGUGAAAGGAAAUCGUCACAGCACCCUCCCUGUCAGCAGCAUAAAAACAAUCAGAACUUCAGGUACUCCGGCAGGUGGAGAAAAGAGAUGUUUUUUUUUUGAGUUAGUUCCAUAAUAAUCCCAAUCCCAAACCAAAUGUUUUCCCCAAGAUAGUCUAGUUUUGGCAAUCGAUGAAUUGUGUGUAAGUCCCUGGUAUAGCUCGGCUUCAGAUUGUAGUGUAUGAAUGAACAAACGAGCAUUAUUUACCGCAAUGUUUAGUUUUUGACGAAGCUUUCUCCUUACACAGCAAGUGUAACAGCAACAGGACAAUAUCAGGGAGUAUGCCAUAAUAUCAUUGCAGGCUUCUGACGAGGCUGACAACAACACAGAGUAACAGUGUAAAUUGGGAUUUAGUUUUACAUGAAUAAUUAGGUAUGGAAAUUUCGAAUCAUAAGAUGCACAGCAAAUGGAAGAUUUGGCAGAAGGCAAACUGAUAAAAAAAAAGAGGCUGGGUGUCCUUGGAAUUUGUUAGUCAUGUGCGAAAUUGUCAGUUGGCAAUUAAGUUUUAAGGCGAGAGGAAAUAAUGCAUGUUUGAUAUUAAGGAAUUAGAAGAGAACACAAAGAUAUUAUAAACUCUGCACUUGACAUGAUGGCUAUUUUCAGAGAAUAAUCUUACACAUGGGCCUGUUCUUGGCGACUGAUGCAAUCCUUGAGAAUGUUCCGCAGGGAAAAAAGAAUGUCUUCAGACCUGUGUGAUCACAAGCAGAUAAACGGCAAGAAAAAUAUGUAAGAAUAUUAUUACCAUAUCACUCGAAAUCAUUGAAGCAUAGCCCCUCCCAUAUUACUUUAGAUAAUUCAGGGCAUAUCCCAGCACACAGGUAUUAAGGAUGGUAACAGUCUAGAACCAUUUAUGCUAUCCUUUCAGUUUAAGAUGCAUUCGAUUGCCUUGACGUAGAUUUCUGAACUAAGAACUCAAGCAGAAACUGUGUGGUUUUUAGCAGGUUAAAGAGAGAUAGAUAGGCUAGACAAGAGCAAAGGGCAACUGCAGAGGAAUUAUAAAACCACCAGAGCAAAUACAAGUGAGCAUAAUGAUUAAAUUUCCAUCGCAAGAUAAGGGGUUAAAUAGACAUACAUAAUUCAGGC